UCAAGCUAAUAAGAGCACAGGGUGAAUGCCUUGGCACCAGGAGCCGAAGAAGGACGCGAUAAGCUGCGAUAAGCUACGGUGAGACGCAAAUAGUCUAUGAUCCGUAGAUUUCCGAAUGGGGAAACCCACAUGAGGUAAAUACUCAUGUAUCAUACAGUGAAUCCAUAGCUGUAUAGAGGGGAGACGUGGGGAACUGAAACAUCUAAGUACCCACAGGAAAAGAAAUCAAUUGAGAUUCCGCAAGUAGUGGCGAGCGAACGCGGAAGAGGCCAAACCAAAGGACUUCGGUUCUUUGGGGUUGCGGACCGGCAGAAUGAUUCACAAAGUCUAGCAGAAUGAGCGGUUGGAAAACCGAGUCCAAAGAGGGUAAAAGUCCCGUAUGCGAAAGAUAGAGUGACAGGCCGGAAUCCAGAGUACCACGAGACACGAGAAAUCUUGUGGGAAGCCGGGAGGACCACCUUCCAAGCCUAAAUACUACCUGGUGACCGAUAGUGGAGCAGUACCGUGAGGGAAAGGUGAAAAGAACCCCGGGAGGGGAGUGAAAGAGAACCUGAAACCUUGUGCUUACAAACAGUCGAAGGACGUUAAAGUCUGACGGCGUACUUUUUGUAGAACGGUCCGGCGAGUUAUUGUAUAUGGCAAGGUUAAGUGCUUAAGGCAUGGAGCCGCAGCGAGAGCGAGUCUUAAUAGGGCGUAAGUCAUGUGCAAUAGACCCGAAACCGGGUGACCUAUCCAUGGACAGGCUGAAGUUGGAGUAAAAUCCAAUGGAGGGCCGUACCCACUCCCGUUGAAAAGGUAGGGGAUGAGCUGUGGAUAGGGGAGAAAUUCCAAUCGAACUCGGAGAUAGCUGGUUCUCCUCGAAAUAGCUUUAGGGCUAGCCUCAGAGUAAGACUAAUGGAGGUAGAGCACUGAUCGAGCUAGGGGCCCAACAAGGUUACCGAACUCUUUCAAACUCCGAAUGCCAUUAGUUAUAUCUCUGGGAGUCAGACUGCGGGGGAUAAGCUCCGUAGUCGAAAGGGAAACAGCCCAGACCGACAGCUAAGGUCCCCAAGUGCGAACUAAGUGGAAAAGGAUGUGGAACUGCACAGACAACCAGGAUGUUGGCUUAGAAGCAGCCACUCAUUUAAAGAGUGCGUAAUAGCUCACUGGUCAAGUGGUUCUGCGCCGAAAAUGUAACGGGGCUCAAGUUCGCCACCGAAGCUUCGGAAUCGUUGAUUUAUUCAGCGGUUGGUAGAGGAGCGUUCCAACAGCGUAGAAGGUAGACCGAAAGGACUGCUGGAGUGGUUGGAAGUGAGAAUGCCGGUAUUAGUAGCGAUAAGGAAGGUGAGAAUCCUUCCCGCCGAAAACCUAAGGAUUCCUGAGGAAGGUUCGUCCGCUCAGGGUAAGUCGGGACCUAAGGCGAGGCCGAAAGGCGUAGUCGAUGGACAACAGGUUGAAAUUCCUGUACCACCGAGGAUCAUUUGAGUGAAGUGGUGACACAGAAGGGUAGGUCAUCAUCCUGAUGGAUGGGUGUCCAAGCGAGUAGGGAGCAAGGUAGGCAAAUCCGCCUUGCAUGAAUCCCAAGACGUGAUGGGGAAGCGAAAUAAGUAGCCGAACUGAUUGAUCCCAUGCUGUCAAGAAAAGCCACUAGCGAGAUUGUAGGUGCCCGUACCGCAAACCGACACAGGUAGGUAAGGAGAGAAUCCUAAGGCGCGCGAGAGAACCCCUGUUAAGGAACUCGGCAAAAUGACUCCGUAACUUCGGGAUAAGGAGUGCCUUUGUAGUGUGACAUUGAACAAAUGAAGCAUGAAGAGGCCGCAGAGAAAUGGCCCAAGCGACUGUUUAUCAAAAACACAGGUCUCUGCUAAGUGGAAACACGAAGUAUAGGGGCUGACGCCUGCCCAAUGCCGGAAGGUUAAGAGGAGAGGUCAAUUGUCGUAAGACGAUGAAGCUUCGAAUCGAAGCCCCGGUCAAUGGCGGCCGUAACUAUAACGGUCCUAAGGUAGCGAAAUUCCUUGUCGGGUAAGUUC
rnacentral:rRNA from 1 species